rnacentral:rRNA from 1 species
GACGAACGCUGGCGGCGUGCUUAACACAUGCAAGUCGAACGGUAAGGCCCUUCGGGGUACACGAGUGGCGAACGGGUGAGUAACACGUGGGUGAUCUGCCCUGCACUUCGGGAUAAGCCUGGGAAACUGGGUCUAAUACCGGAUAGGACCCUGGGAUGCAUGUCCUGGGGUGGAAAGCGUUUGCGGUGUGGGAUGGGCCCGCGGCCUAGCAGCUUGUUGGUGGGGUGAUGGCCUACCAAGGGGACGACGGGUAGCCGGCCGGAGAGGGUGACCGGCCACACUGGGACUGGGAUACGGCCCAGACUCCUACGGGAGGCAGCAGUGGGGAAUAUUGCACAAUGGGCGCAAGCCUGAUGCAGCGACGCCGCGUGAGGGAUGACGGCCUUCGGGUUGUAAACCUCUUUCAGCACCGACGAAGCGCAAGUGACGGUAGGUGCAGAAGAAGGACCGGCCAACUACGUGCCAGCCGCCGCCGUAA